GCAGCUGCGCACCGAGCACGGCCAAAAAUCUCAUCUCAUCUCAUCGCAGGGAAGGAAAAGAGCGAUACGUCUCAUCAAUGCAUCGUUUUGCGCAAAGUCCACACAGGGAUAGGACGAGGAUACCUUUCAAAAUAAGACUCACAGCAACACCACGGCGUCAAAACAUCAUAUUGCCUCAGGCCGCCGCAAGUGUCUUAUUUUGAAAGCCGGGCGGGAAGCGGCAUAAAUGCGUGGCGUUUGUCUUGACAGAUGGCGAGCGCAGCGCGAGACGCUCCUCACCGUGAUCACGGCUGUGGUUUUCUCGCUCGGCUGCUCGGUCCAUCUUACUCUGGCCAUUGUCUGCACGGUCGCUCCAUCGUGUGAAGGCGAGCCCGCAAACCAAGACGUCGUUUCGGGGCUGAUGCUUGCGUUCCAAUAGCAACUCGAUGGAGAAGCGCCUGCGCCACACAACGUGUCUUUUGGAUUAAGCGCUCCGGCCCGGACGGAGCCGAGUCAGUGCGUCGGCGGCGGCGGCAGCGGCGGUGCGAAGGGCGACAUGACCGCGGCUACGAGACGCGGCAGCCGGAGGAGGCGGACGACAAGUGGCCGCCGCUGACGCUUUGCAUUUUGGAAGCGACCCUGCUUGCCCGCCCGCCUGCCUGCCUGCCUGCCUGCCAGCCAGCCAGCCAGCCAGCCUGCCUGCCUGCCUGCCUGGAGGACGUUGCCUCCCCAUCCGCACUUGUCGUCAGGGACACUUUUACACCCUUUCCAUACUUAGUAUGAAAUGAUUGUUGCAAAUUGAACUGCAAGGAGCAAGAAUCUUUUUUCCUCACGAUGAUACGGGACUUGCCUCUGGAAGCAAACUUUUAUUCAUUUUUGGAUUCCCGCAAGCUUCCCACCCGUUUAUUUUCCAAAUGAGCAGAAUGCCCUAAAUCUCAACUUGCUUUGCCAGACCAGACUCCACCUCCGGCUCGGCUGCCGCGUGAAGCGUUUUCCGAGCUGAGCUCAAGGGUCCCGCUCCCCCACCCGCCCCUUGGAGGCCCAGCCCGACAGCUCCGAGGAAGGAGGAAUUGCAGAUGAUCAGAAACGCCACGGGGUGCGCCAUGGGGUGCUGCGGCGGCAGGUGUACCUUGGCCUUCAUCUGUGGCAUGCAGCUGGUCAGCGUCUUUGAGCGUCAGAUGGUGGACUUCCUGGGCUAUCAGUGGGCUCCCAUCCUGACCAACUUCCUGCACAUCAUGGCCGUCAUCCUGGGCUUGUUUGGCACCGUCCAGUUCCGGCCGCGCUACGUCACCGGGUACGCGGCCUGGCUGCUCAUCUGGAUGACUUGGAAUGUUUUCAUCAUCUGCUUCUACCUGGAGGUGGGCCAGCUGUCCAAGGACUCCAACCUGGUGCUGACCUUCAACCUGUCCAUGCACCGCUCCUGGUGGAUGGAGAACGGGCCCGGGUGCAGGGUGACCCCCGUGGGCCCUCCUCCCUCUUGGGCGCCCGAAGACCACCGCUACAUCUCCGUGUCCGGGUGCCUGCUGGACUUCCACUUGGUAGAAGUGGCCCACUCAUCGCUGCAGAUGCUCCUGGCCUUGGCCGGCUUCAUCUACGCCUGCUACGUGGUCAAGCUCAUCUCCGAGGAGGAGGACAGCUGUGAGUGCACGCGCAAACACACGCUUGGCCGACAACAAUGGCGGCCCAUUCGGGGAAACAGGCCUCGCCUCGGGUGUGAGGAAGCUAACGCUCGCCGACGUUCCGAGCUGCUGAGAAAGCUAAUUAGUCCGCCGCUAAGGAUGGCGUGCGUGCCACGCCGCGCUCGGCCACAUUCUAAUCAAGCCGUGAAUGUCAGCAACGCGCUCAGCUCAAGCUGCCGUCGGGGCGGGGGUUAGGGCGUGAGUCAGCGGGAAAAGGAAGGCCUCAACUCAACGCGACUCCGGCAGCCGUGGUCGGAAUAACGCUGCCGCCGCCGCCGAUUAGCACUUGUCCUGCUGCCUUUCAUAAUGGGGCCACCUCAAGAAUACAUGAAAAGGAUUAGCGGGCAUCUCGGGGAACAAAGUGGAGAAAGUUAGACCAGGACAAAAGGUUGUUGAAAGGUGCUGGCGGUGAACUCAAGUGGCUCUUCGGAGCGGUCUCAAAAGACAAAAGAAUGAGCCCAAGUGAACAAUUAUCCAUUGACCUGCCAAGGCCGGAGCCGCCCAUUGUCAUUCCCCGCCAUGGGUUGUGGCGAGGCGUCUCGGGGAAAAGGUUGCCAAUUCAUGGACGCACGCGCCUCCUUUGCAUUGCUUUGCUUUGCUCUGCUCCACAGUUGACUUUAUUGGCGGAUUCGACUCGUACGGCUACCAGGGGCCCCAGAAGACGUCCCACCUCCAACUCCAGCCCAUGUACAUGUCAAAAUAAGACAAGGGGCUGCUGC